rnacentral:rRNA from 1 species
UACGAAGGGAGCUAGCGUUGUUCGGAAUCACUGGGCGUAAAGCGCACGUUGGCGGACGUGUCAGUCAGGGGUGAAAUCCCGGAGCUCAACUUCGGAACUGCCUUUGAUACAGCACGUCUUGAGUCCGGAAGAGGUGGGUGGAAUUCCUAGUGUAGAGGUGAAAUUCGUAGAUAUUAGGAAGAACACCGGUGGCGAAGGCGGCCCACUGGUCCGGUACUGACGCUGAGGUGCGAAAGCGUGGGGAGCAAACAGG